ACACGACUACAUUAGGAUACCCGUGUAGUCCCAGCCCUAAACGAUGCGCGUUAGGUGUAUCGGUGACCACGAGUCACCGAGGUGCCGAAGGGAAACCGUGAAACGUGCCGCCUGGGAAGUACGGUCGCAAGGCUGAAACUUAAAGGAAUUGGCGGGGAGCACCACAACGGGUGGAGCCUGCGGUUUAAUUGGACUCAACGCCGGGAAGCUCACCGGAUAAGACAGCGGAAUGAUUGCCGGGCUGAAGACCCUGCAUGACCAGCUG
rnacentral:rRNA from 1 species